AGAACCACUUCUGUGAUAGUCGGGGAGAGCAAAGCUCAGAGAGGGCGGAUUCUAGGCCCCACAGCACACAGAGAGGCUGUGUGGCCUGGCCCCUGCCUUUUCUCAUUGCCUCACCCCAUCCCCCAACCAGCUUGCUCGAUCUUCCUUCUGAUGCUUGAGUGGGCGCUCUGGGGCCCUGCCUCAGGACCUGGGAACUUGUUCAUUCUGCCUAAAAUUUCCAUGAGUGGCUCCUUCUGUCAAUCAGGUCUCAGCUCAGAUGUCCCCUCAGAGACCUUCCCUGAUCACUCUAACUGAAGUAGCUCACCCCUCUCCCCCCCUCAAAUACUCAUCUCAGCUGGUCAAUUUUCCUUGUAGCCAUUAUUACUGUAGAAAAUUAUUUAUUUAUUUACCCAUUAUUAGCUAUUAUCCCCUUGUCUGUCUUGUUCUAUGCUGUACCCACAGCACCCAGAAGAGUGCUUGACACACAGUAGGUGCUUAGUAAAUAUUUAUUACUUUAAUUUAUUAGUCAGUGGCAGAACUAGGACUGGAAAUGCAGAUUGUCAGUCUCUUGCCACAAGACAGGGAAAAGGAUUGAGAUGAGGAGAGGAAGUGCCUGUCUGAGGUCAGGGGACCUGGGAAGCAAGCACAGCUUUGCCACCGUCACCCUGGGUGACUUGGACCAGUGCCUUAUUCUCUCAUCUGUGAAAUGAAAGUGCUGGAUGACAACCAUAACUGAGGUCCCAUUUCCUGUGACAGCUGAAGACAAGGCUAACUGAUCUGAGGGGCAGAUGCUUGAGGGCUGGCUCUCCCCCACUCCCCCACCUCCAGCUUGAACUCCCACCACUAGCACAAUUUGUCCCUUUCAAGUGGAGAUGGUGGAGAUGGGAAAAAGCAUUUGGCUCUGUACAGAAUGGCUCCAGGCAUUGUCAAAGCUCUCAGUCUGGGGAGAAUACAAUUCUAUAGUAUAGCUCUAGGAUCAGAUAGUCCUGCUGACUUUGGGGGUGACCUGGGGCAAGUCACUCAGCAAAUGGUGUCUACCUUGCAGGGUUAUUGUGAGAAUUCAGUGUAUAUGUAGGUACAUGCAUUCUCUCUCACAUGUCAACAUACUGCACCCCCUCCCCCCACCCCCUGAGAAGCCUGGCACACUGGGAGCUCAAGAGGUAGUCUGGUUGCCCUUGCCCACAUGCCCCCAGCCCCGGGCAACAUCAAGAUGACUCUAUUCUGGUUACUUUUGCUCACAGACUGCCCUCUUUUUCUGUCAUUUUGACGCCAUCUCUGAUUUGGUCCUGUCUGACAUCUCUGCUCUCUGCUCCAGAUUCCCUUUGCCCGUAUGCCAAUGGGGAUCAUGCCAGAGAUCAUAUCUGAGAAAGCAAGACCCAGUUUUGUUUGCGUGUGUCUCUGUUGUUGAUCACUGGCUGCCAUGGGGGUGUGUCUACGUGGCACCUUCAGCCCGGAAGACCCUCAAAGGCAAGAAUUCAAGAAAAUGUAUGAUGAAUCUCCGUGUUGCCAUCUGCCAGAAACAGAAUGGGCACAAAGAACUUGCGCAUUGAUCCCAUCUCAGCACCUUAGCUGAGUUUCCUACAUUUCUGGAUAAUGAUGGAAGGACUUGUCCAUUGGGGUGGAGAACCAUGGAAGGGUGAAUCGAGGGUGUGGCUGGCCUGUGGUGCUUUUUGGAGGAGUGAAUAAAGAUGAGUAGAAAUGCCA